UAGGCAGAAGCCAAGGGGUUGUGGCAUCUAGCUGUUAACUAGAAUUGUAUGGGAUCGAGGCCCAUCUGCCUAGA
rnacentral:tRNA from 1 species